AUUGAACGCUGGCGGCAUGCCUUACACAUGCAAGUCGAACGGUAGAGGGGGCAACCCCUUGAGAGUGGCGAACGGGUGAGUAAUGCAUCGGAACGUGCCCAGUCGUGGGGGAUAGCCCGGGGAAACCCGGAUUAAUACCGCAUACAACCUGAGGGUGAAAGCGGGGGACCGAAAGGCCUCGCGCGAUUGGAGCGGCCGAUGUCGGAUUAGGUAGUUGGUGGGGUAAAGGCCUACCAAGCCUGCGAUCCGUAGCUGGUCUGAGAGGACGACCAGCCACACUGGGACUGAGACACGGCCCAGACUCCUACGGGAGGCAGCAGUGGGGAACUUUGGACAAUGGGCGCAAGCCUGAUCCAGCCAUGCCGCGUGCGGGAAGAAGGCCUUCGGGUUGUAAACCGCUUUUGUCAGGGAAGAAAUCUCUUGGGUUAAUACCCUGGGGGGAUGACGGUACCUGAAGAAUAAGCACCGGCUAACUACGUGCCAGCCGCCGCUGUAA
rnacentral:rRNA from 1 species